rnacentral:lncRNA from 1 species
UGAGAUUUAAUGUGAGAGGUUCAGAUUCUGCUUCAGGUUCAGAUCUUUGGGGUGAAGCGUAAAGAGGGUUUAAGUCUAAAGGUUCAGUUUCAGUUUCUGAUUCAGGUGCAGCAGAGGUGUUUGGUGGGUUGAUAUCAGAGGUGGGAAGGUCAGAGGGUUGGUCUUCAGAAGGUUGGUUUUCAGAAGGUUGGUUUUCAGAAGGGAUGGUGGUUGUUUGUUGUGGUGGUGAAGUUAUUUCAG